rnacentral:rRNA from 1 species
UACGUAGGGGGCAAGCGUUGUCCGGAUUUAUUGGGCGUAAAGAGCGUGUAGGCGGCCAUACAGGUCCGUUGUGAAAACUGGAGGCUUAACCUCCAGACGUCGAUGGAAACCAUCCAGCUAGAGCCCGGAAGAGGAGAGUGGAAUUCCUGGUGUAGCGGUGAAAUGCGCAGAUAUCAGGAAGAACACCCGUGGCGAAAGCGGCUCUCUGGGACGGUACUGACGCUGAGACGCGAAAGCGUGGGGAGCGAACAGG